rnacentral:lncRNA from 1 species
GGGAGGCGACUGUCUAGGCUCGAGUGUCAGGUCGUGGGCAGUCUUUGAGCGGGGACGAGGUGUGGGAGGCUAACGUGUUCUCCCCAGCAGUCUGUUACAGAGUUCCGGGCGCUGCUGGAGCAAUGCUACUCCUCUGGACGGUCGGAUGCUUCAAUCGCCUCGUUGCCCGCCAUUUCUCCUCCGUGGCUCGGCCCGGGGAGCGGCCUGGCGGGGAGGAGCUGAGUCGCUUGCUUCUUGAUGACCUGGCGCCAGCCCAGAGGCUGGAACGUCUGUUUGGCGUGUCCCCAUGCCUCCUGGCCUUGCGGGCCGCCCGCCGGCACGUGGCCCGGCUCCUGCUCCAGGCCGGUAAGGCUGGACUGCAGGGGGAGCGGGCCGAGCUGCUCCGGGUGGCCGAGGCUCGGGGCAUCCCUGUCUUGAGGCCCAGGCGGCAGAAACUGGAUGCCUUGUGUGGCUACCAGGUGCACCAGGGCGUGUGCAUGGAGGUCAGCCGGCUGCGACCUCGGCCUUGCGAUGAGGCGGCAGACACGAGCUCAGGCGACGACCCUCAGCAACUGUGGCUCGUCCUUGAGGGGAUCCAGGAUCCCCGCAAUCUUGGGGCUGUGAUGCGCUCCGCUUACUUCCUCGGAGUAGACAGGGUCAUCACCAGCCGGAGAAACAGCUGUCCGCUUACUCCAGUAGUCAGCAAGGCCAGCGCUGGGGCCAUGGAAGUGAUGGACGUGUUCGCCUCUCCUGACCUGGCGAGUUUUUUGCAGGUCCCACCGGGAAGGAUCCCAAGGCCUUUAAAAUAGAGCCUCGUCUGGUUAGAGAUUUCCUCGCCUCAUUUACUUUAUUUACUACACGACUUGGCCACCUGUGUCAGCAAGUCAAUGUCUGACACCCAUGGGACUUCAGCAGCACUCGAGAGAGCUGGUGGACAGGAGUCGUGGGUAUUUGGAAUAGAAAGUCAACUUGAAAGCGAUUUAAACAAGGCUUUGCAAGGGGCAAGCUUUAGUGUACUUUAGCUGUGUAUUUCCUGGAUAGACCCUAGGGGGCAGCAUUGCCUCGCGUUUGGCCGUCCCUCUGACCUCUGUCCUUCCCCGUCCCCACCCCCAUCCCUCAGUGAGAAAAUAACCUUGAAAAGAGGCCAAAGAAAGCUGUAAUAAACUUAUAUUCAAACC